rnacentral:tRNA from 1 species
GCCUGGGUGGCUCAGUCGGUUGAGCGUCCGACUUCGACUCAGGUCACGAUCUCAGGGUUCGAGCCCUGCGUCGGGCU